rnacentral:lncRNA from 1 species
AUGCAGCUGGGUAUCCCCCCUUAUUCUGCUCUUAGUGUGGGCUGCCUGGUGCCCCAAAAUCAAACUUGCCCCUGCUCCACGAAAAGGUGUGGGGCUGACCCUCUGCUUCAGAGCCCAUUUCUGUCUCUCCUCCUUUUCCCACAUCCAUCUCCUCCCCCUCGAAUUUCUAGGCUUUCCUCCCUUCAUCUCCCUAUUUCCCACCACCACAUCCCUCCCUCUUUCCAGUUGCCACGACCAUAUCCCUCUCCCCAAAUUUACACAUCCUCAUGUCUCUCUCUCCCCCCUUUCCCAUCCCUAUAUCCUUCCUUCUUCUCACUUCCCUCAUCCACAUCCUUCUCUCCCCAUUUUCCCACAUCCUUAUACCUCCCUUUUUCUUCUUUUCCACAUCCAUAUCCCUUCCUCUACCUUUUCUCUAUCAUAUCCCUUCCUCUUCCUCGUUUCCCAUAUCCCUAUAACUCCUUCUCCCAGUCUUCCAUAUCCUCCAUCUCUCAUUUCCCACAGCCCCAAGUUGCCCCCUUUUCUUACAUCCAUACUCCUCCCUCUCCCUGUUUUCCCACAUCCUUUUAUCUCCCUUUUCCUUCUUUUUCAACACUCAUAUACCUUCCUCUCCCUCUUUUUCCAUAUCCCUAUGCUUCCCUUUCCCCAUUUUCCAUAUCCACAUUCCUCCCUUUUCCCAUGCCCAUAUCUCUUUGUCUCCCUUUUCCUGCACCCACAUCCUUCCCUUUUCCCUAUUUCCCACAGCCCCAUCUCUCUCUCUACCCUUUUCCCCACAUCCUUAUGCCUUCCCUCUCCCCACUUUCCAUAACCCCUCUCUCUCCCAUCUUCCACAGUCCCAUCUCUUCCUCUCCCCUCAUCCCACAUGCGUAUCCCUCCUUCUCCCCAGUUCCCACAACCCUCUUCUUCUCUUUUCCUACAUCCUUAUGCCUUCCUCUUCCCAUUUCCCAUAUCCACAUCUCUCUCCCACCCCUUUUCUUUCAUCCUUUCCCAUGCCCACAUCCAUUCCUCUCCUUUUAA